AUUUCGUCUCCUUCUUCUCGACCUCAUUUUUCUCUCUUUCUUUUUAAUCUUCAAAAUGUUGCUUGAACAAUUAGUAACCAAAUUCUGCCAUUCAUCUUCUCUCUCUGCGCUAUCAGUUGGAUCCUCAACGUCAAAUGCUGCUUUGGAGGUCAAAUGAUGUCAGCUAUAGUUCAAAUGCACGGAUUUUGCAGCUGAUUGAGGUCGUUGCUUGGAUUUGUUGGUAUACAUACAUUUGAAGAUGGUCAGAGAAACGGCUGGAGAGACGUGGUUUGGUAAUAUAUGGAAGAGUUCGCGUAAGAGCAUAUCGUGGGAGCCUGAGAGACCAGUGGUUGGAAUUUUGGCUUUUGAAAUAUCAAGGUUGAUGUCGAAGUUGGUUAGUAUAUGGCAGAGUCUCACUGAGGGACGAGUUGUGAGGUUACGGGAAGAAAUUGCAAACUCAGUCGGUAUACAGAAGCUUGUUUCUGAAGAUGUAGAUUAUCUUAUGGAGCUUGUUCUUGCUGAGAUAGUUGAGAAUUUGAGAAGUGUGGCGAAGUCGGUGGUUGUGUUUGGAAAGAAGUGCACAGACUCGGAAUACCACAAUCUGGAAAUAAUUUUUGAUGAUGUAGUUAAGAUUGAUCCAAAGUGGCAUAGUUGGCAGUUUAAGCCGAAGAAGAUGGAGAAGAAAGUGAAGAAAAUGGAGAGGUUUGUGGCGGCAACAGAACAGCUAUUUCAAGAGCUUGAAGUGUUAGCGGAGCUUGAGCAGAGCCUGAGGCGUACGCAAGCUGGUGCAGAUUCAGGUGGGGUGAAAUUGCUUGAGUUCCAGCAGAAGGUCGUGUGGCAACGCCAGGAAGUGAAGAAUCUUCGGGAGAUGUCUCCUUGGGUUAAAACAUAUGAUUACAUUGUUCGGCUUCUUUUGAGAUCUAUUCUCACCAUUGUUGAGAGGAUCAAAACUGUUUACGGGACUAAACAGAGUGGAAAUGUAGAAGGUUGCAUUGGUAACGAACAUACAAACAUUGACUACCUUGUGUGUAGUAAUUCCAUGUCCACUGGGCGGCAAAUGUCAUUUCAUCAAUCACAAUCCAACUCUUCCAGAUUUACAGUUCCUUUAGGAAGGUCGUUUUCAAAUUUGGGCCUUGGAGGAGGUGGCAAGAGCAAGUCAAAGGACAUAAAAAACCAUCGUCGGUCUGAAUCAUCUCUCUCCUCUGGGAAACAACAUCCAGCAAAAACUCGAAUAUUUGCUCCUACUGGAUUGACAGGAUGCAUGACCCGGGGAAGUGAAUCUCCCGUUGUAGAUAGUUGCACACCUUCAUGUGGCAGCUCAGCCAGGCCAUAUGAUGUUUCUCUAAAACAUGCAAUUGAAGUGAAAAAUUUCAAAGAAGUGGCAGUCGCUUAUGGUGGCAUAACCUCUACAAAAAUUUCUCUCUUUAAUUCCAAACGGCAUCUGCUGGAAGCUUCGCCUUCUACUCUUGGUUAUGCUGCAUUGGCCCUGCACUAUGCCAAUGUCAUCAUAUUGAUUGAAAAGUUAGCUUCCGCGCCUCAUUUAAUUAGCCUUGAUGCAAGAGACGAUCUUUACUAUAUGUUGCCUGCAACUAUCAAAAGCUCUCUGAGGGCAAAGCUGAAAACAUUUUCAAGAACUUCGGCUUCAUGUUUCUACGAUGCUGCAUUUGCAGCUCAGUGGAGCUUAGCGAUUACAACAAUAUUGGACUGGCUGUCUCCACUUGCUCAUAACAUGGUAAGAUGGCAAUCUGAGCGGAACGUUGAAAGGCAGAGAUUGGUAUGUGGGUCUAAUAUUCAUCUUGUCCAGACACUUUACUUUGCACAUCAAAGGGAGACAGAGGCAGCAAUUGUAGAACUCCUGAUGGGCUUAAAUUACCUCUCUAGAUUUGGAAGUGUUAGUCUGAAACCAUUUCAGGAGUCAUCGUGUAGUCAGGCAUAUGAUGGUUAUGCAUUUCCCACUGAUAACAUGUACUACAAGAUUAUUGACGAUUCAUCAUGACAGAAAUGUGAUGUUCCUACACACAACCCACGAUUGGCGAAAAACUUUCAUGUGGCUUAGUCUGACAUUGUGUUUUUUCCACUCAUGCCGAGCACAAUGUUUUCUUCAAAGUCUCCUCCCCUCCCAGAAAUGAAAAGGUUUGGUCAUUUCUGCUUUUGAGGGUGACCCGAUCAAUCUCUGCUUUGAGCUUCCUCAUGGAAUCAGGACUUCGUAAUAGCUCUGCCAUCGCCCAGACAGUGGUAUUGCUUGUAGUCUCGGUUCCACCAAAGAACAUUUCCUGCAGCAGAAAAAGGUACAUGUGAAGCUCUUAAUUCUAUAUAUCUUUUUUAUGUUAUCAAAAUGCAUUAUUACCAGUAUUAUGAUGUUGAUAUUCUUCUCUGAGAGCUUGUCAACCGAUCCUUUGCCAUCACCUUCAUAAUCCAGUAACGCAUCGAGGAAAUCUCUCGUAUGGUUACCUCUCUGCAAAUUCCUCUCACGAAUUCUUUGUUGCACAAAUACUGAAGCUAUCUUCAACAGCUGUUCCAGGUACGUCCCUGUGCGUCUCCUGAUUCCCUGAGGAUCAAGCCAUUUCAAGAACUCGAAUGCAUCUACCACAUUAGGCUUCCCCUGCCAGCAAAUGAAGUUUCUCAUGGCCUCCAAGAACACGUUCCUCGUCUCGAACUUGUAGUCCAUUAUAUCUCUCGUGAGCAUGAAAUUGCUGACUAGAUUAAAGCUCAUGAUCAUCCUAGGCUUGUCAAACCCUUAGGGAAAACAAGAAACAUUCGUCAAACAACGACAGACACAAUUUAAAUUAAACGGGUCAGGAUAAAUGUUCAUUACAUAUCACAAAUAAUGCAUUAUAGAAUCUAAA